CUGUGGGUGCCUGUGGGUAACCAGCCUGGCUGCCACUCAGGAGUCCAUAGUGUGAGGGCCCUGGGAAGGUUCAAGGACAGACUCACUAAAUACUUCAGAGUCUGAGAGCUCCAUUCUCAUCCUGCCUCUGGAGAGUUUGCUACACUCUGUGAGGAGUGGGGGCCUGCCCUCACUCACUAGGAUGGGACAGGAUUCCUUCAUGAGGUGUACAGGAUGAACUGAAGGUGGGAUCCUCUUUGCCUUCAGUGUGGCCAUAAUUGUAGAAGGGUAGGUGUCACAAGAACAAGGAGGACAGUGGUCAUGUCCAUUCCCAUCCCCUGAGCACUCACUGCAUGUCAGACAGGGCACAAGGAAAAUUAUCUUAUUUUAACCCUACCCCAACCUGCUUUGCAGAUGAGGAAAACAAGACCUGGGAGACUAAAGAAUGAAUGCUUCCAAAGUCACACAUCUGAUCCUCUGAUCUUGGUUAUCUGCUAAAAACCUACACAUGAAGAUUCCUCUCUGGGACUCAGAUGCCUCAGCUUGCUGAGAGCAGGGCUUGGCUCCCUCAUAGGGCCUGGCUUGUAGAAAAUGGUCAGUG